AGGGUUGUAGCUCAGGGGUUAGGGCAUCUGCUUUGCAUGCAGAAGGUCCCAGGUUCGAUCCCUGCCAUCCCCA